AACGAACGCUGGCGGCAUGCCUAACACAUGCAAGUCGAACGAGACCUUCGGGUCUAGUGGCGCACGGGUGCGUAACGCGUGGGAACCUUCCCUUAGGUUCGGAAUAACUCCCCGAAAGGGGUGCUAAUACCGGAUAAUGUCUUCGGACCAAUGAUUUAUCGCCUUUGGAUGGUCCCGCGUUGGAUUAGCUAGUUGGUAGGGUAAAAGCCUACCAAGGCGACGAUCCAUAGCUGGUCUGAGAGGAUGAUCAGCCACACUGGGACUGAGACACGGCCCAGACUCCUACGGGAAGCAGCAGUGGGGAAUAUUGGACAAUGGGCGAAAGCCUGAUCCAGCAAUGCCGCGUGAGUGAUGAAGGCAUUAGGGUUGUAAAGCUCUUUUACCCGGGAUGAUAAUGACAGUACCGGGAGAAUAAGCUCCGGCUAACUCCGUG
rnacentral:rRNA from 1 species